rnacentral:rRNA from 1 species
UACGAAGGGCGCAAACGUUGUCCGGAAUUAUUGGGCGUAAAGCGCACGUAGGCGGCUUGGCAAGUCGGAUGUGAAAUCCCUCGGCUCAACCAAGGAAGUGCAUCCGAAACUGCUGAGCUUGAGUACUUAAGAGGAUCGCGGAAUUCCCGGUGUAGAGGUGAAAUUCGUAGAUAUCGGGAGGAACACCAGUGGCGAAGGCGGCGAUCUGGGAAGAUACUGACGCUGAGGUGCGAAAGCGUGGGGAGCAAACAGG